CAUGCAAGUCGAGGGGCAGCAUGGUCUCUUCUUGCUAAGACUGAUGGCGACCGGCGCACGGGUGAGUAACACGUAUCCAACCUGCCGUCUACUCUUGGACAGCCUUCUGAAAGGAAGAUUAAUACAAGAUGGCAUCAUGAGUCCGCAUGUUCACAUGAUUAAAGGUAUUCCGGUAGACGAUGGGGAUGCGUUCCAUUAGAUAGUAGGCGGGGUAACGGCCCACCUAGUCUUCGAUGGAUAGGGGUUCUGAGAGGAAGGUCCCCCACAUUGGAACUGAGACACGGUCCAAACUCCUACGGGAGGCAGCAGUGAGGAAUAUUGGUCAAUGGGCGAGAGCCUGAACCAGCCAAGUAGCGUGAAGGAUGACUGCCCUAUGGGUUGUAAACUUCUUUUAUAAAGGAAUAAAGUCGGGUAUGCAUACCCGUUUGCAUGUACUUUAUGAAUAAGGAUCGGCUAACUCCGUGCCAGCAGCCGCGGUAAUACGGAGGAUCCGAGCGUUAUCCGGAUUUAUUGGGUUUAAAGGGAGCGUAGAUGGAUGUUUAAGUCAGUUGUGAAAGUUUGCGGCUCAACCGUAAAAUUGCAGUUGAUACUGGAUAUCUUGAGUGCAGUUGAGGCAGGCGGAAUUCGUGGUGUAGCGGUGAAAUGCUUAGAUAUCACGAAGAACUCCGAUUGCGAAGGCAGCCUGCUAAGCUGCAACUGACAUUGAGGCUCGAAAGUGUGGGUAUCAAACAGGAUUAGAUACCCUGGUAGUCCACACGGUAAACGAUGAAUACUCGCUGUUUGCGAUAUACUGCAAGCGGCCAAGCGAAAGCGUUAAGUAUUCCACCUGGGGAGUACGCCGGCAACGGUGAAACUCAAAGGAAUUGACGGGGGCCCGCACAAGCGGAGGAACAUGUGGUUUAAUUCGAUGAUACGCGAGGAACCUUACCCGGGCUUAAAUUGCAGAUGAAUUACGGUGAAAGCCGUAAGCCGCAAGGCAUCUGUGAAGGUGCUGCAUGGUUGUCGUCAGCUCGUGCCGUGAGGUGUCGGCUUAAGUGCCAUAACGAGCGCAACCCUUGUUGUCAGUUACUAACAGGUUCCGCUGAGGACUCUGACAAGACUGCCAUCGUAAGAUGUGAGGAAGGUGGGGAUGACGUCAAAUCAGCACGGCCCUUACGUCCGGGGCUACACACGUGUUACAAUGGGGGGUACAGAGGGCCGCUACCACGCGAGUGGAUGCCAAUCCCCAAAACCUCUCUCAGUUCGGACUGGAGUCUGCAACCCGACUCCACGAAGCUGGAUUCGCUAGUAAUCGCGCAUCAGCCACGGCGCGGUGAAUACGUUCCCGGGCCUUGUACACACCGCCCGUCAAGCCAUGGGAGCCGGGGGUACCUGAAGUGCGUAAGCGCGAGGAGCGCCCUAGGGUAAAACUGGUGACUGGC
rnacentral:rRNA from 1 species